rnacentral:rRNA from 1 species
GACGAACGCUGGCGGCAUGCCUAAUACAUGCAAGUCGAGCGAACAGAUGAAGUGCUUGCACUUCUGACGUUAGCGGCGAACGGGUGAGUAACACGUAAGGAAUCUACCUAUAAGCGGGGGAUAACAUUCGGAAACGAGUGCUAAUACCGCAUAAUAUCUUCUUCCGCAUGGAAGAAGAUUGAAUGUCGGCUCUGCUGUCACUUAUAGAUGACCUUGCGGUGCAUUAGUUAUUUGGUGGGGUAACGGCCUACCAAGACGAGGAUGCAUAGCCGACCUGAGAGGGUGAUCGGCCACAUUGGGACUGAGACACGGCCCAAACUCCUACGGGAGGCAGCAGUAGGGAAUCUUCCGCAAUGGGCGAAAGCCUGACGGAGCAAUGCCGCGUGAGUGAAGAAGGCCUUCGGGUCGUAAAACUCUGUUAUAAGAGAAGAACAAAUUGUAGAGUAACUGCUACAGUCUUGACGGUAUCUUAUCAGAAAGCCACGGCUAACUACGUGCCAGCAGCCGCAGUAA